GGUGCGAUGGUUGUCGUCAGCUCGUGUCGUGAGAUGUUGGGUUAAGUCCGCAACGAGCGCAACCCUCGACCUUAGUUGCCAGCAUUCAGUUGGGCACUCUAAGGUGACUGCCGGCUAAAAGUCGGAGGAAGGUGGGGAUGACGUCAAAUCAUCAUGCCCCUUAUGACCUGGGCUACACACGUGCUACAAUGGGCGGUACAAAGGGUCGCGAACCCGCGAGGGGGAGCCAAUCCCAAAAAGCCGCUCUCAGUUCGGAUUGCAGGCUGCAACUCGCCUGCAUGAAGCCGGAAUCGCUAGUAAUCGCGGAUCAGCAUGCCGCGGUGAAUACGUUCCCGGGCCUU
rnacentral:rRNA from 1 species